rnacentral:ncRNA from 2 species
AUUUGGCUUUAGGGGUAUUCUAAAUUUUAGAAUUGAGACAGUCCCUUUGAACCUGUUUGGCUGACACCAGCGUAGGGAAAAGUAACACUAUUUCA